GACGAGCCACCCAAACGUUAUUCGGAAUUACUGGGCUUAAAGGGUGCGUAGGCGGUGCGGAAAGUAGGGUGUGAAAGACCUCGGCUCAACCGAGGAAUGGCGCUCUAAACUACCGUGCUUGAGGGAGAUAGAGGUAAGCGGAACUUCGGGUGGAACGGUGAAAUGUGUUGAUAUCCGAAGGAACACCGGUGGCGAAAGCGGCUUACUGGAUCUUCUCUGACGGCUGAGGCA
rnacentral:rRNA from 1 species